rnacentral:rRNA from 1 species
UUGGAGGGCAAGUCUGGUGCCAGCAGCCGCGGUAAUUCCAGCUCCAAUAGCGUAUAUUAAAGUUGUUGCAGUUAAAAAGCUCGUAGUUGAAUUUCGGGAUUGGCACAUCGGUCGUGCCUUAAGGGGCAUGAACUGGUGUAGCCAAUUUCUCACCUUCUGGAGAACCGCGAUGUCCUUAAUUGGGUGCCGCGAGGAACCAGGACCUUUACUUUGAAAAAAUUAGAGUGUUUAAAGCAGGCAUUUUGCUUGAAUACAUUAGCAUGGAAUAAUAAAAUAGGACGGAUGAUUCUAUUUUGUUGGUUUCUAGGACCACCGUAAUGAUUAAUAGGGAUAGUUGGGGGCAUUAGUAUUCAAUUGUCAGAGGUGAAAUUCUUGGAUUUAUUGAAGACUAACUACUGCGAAAGCAUUUGCCAAGGAUGUUUUCAUUAAUCAAGAACGAAAGUUAGGGGAUCGAAGACGAUCAGAUACCGUCGUAGUCUUAACCAUAAACUAUGCCGACUAGGAAUCAGACGAUGUUAAUUUUUUAAUGACUCGUUUGGCACCUUACGGGAAACCAAAGUGUUUGGGUUC